GUCAAUCAUCUGAGGACCAACAAUGACAGGAUUUUUUACUCACAAGGAAAUAGUGUAUCCAUUGUCACACACUACACCUUUUAUUUUUAAAUUAUACUACCUUUAAAGCAAGGUUUAUAGGAUUCUGUAACCUCGUUAAACAAAUUUCAGCUUAACUUUUUAUAUAUUGUACUAACUGAUUUUAAUGUGUUUUUGUAAUUAAGUAAUCCAAGUUGUUACAUUUUAAAUACUGCGUGUUUAAAAUGCCAAAAUUUUCAAUAUUUAGAUUGGUCUCAUGGGACGUUUUAAACUGCUUAUUUACGUUUUAAGUAGUUUUUUUAACAUGAAUUUAACAGUCCUGCUAGUAACUAACAUAACAAAUGAAAAACAAACUGUUGUACUCCCAAUUUUUUUAUUUACGAUGUCAAUUAAUUUUUGUUAAAAACUGUCUUAUACAGAAAACACUAUUACCAAAAAAAUGUGUCAAACACAAAUUAAUGAAUAGUAAUUAUUACAUUUUUUUCUUAAUACAACUUAAAAUUACCACUAAAUAUUUUUAUUGUCUUAAUUUGCGCCUAAUAUUUUGUUUUAUUUCAUUUGGAUCAUCAGAAUUUUUUUGUAACUAUUUGUUAUAUGUAUUUUAAUUUUUUUCAGCUGAUUCACAGAUGCGACACAAUUUGUAUAAUAGAACAUACUAAUGGAAAUUCACGAAUCGUAGAAUUUCUAUUAUGAAAAGUCGUUUUACAGUUACUUAACUGCUUUGAUCUUCGUUUAAAAAUGCAUUAAUUAGUAGUCAAUAACUGUUAUAUAUAUAGUAGUAUAAUUAUGAUUAAGUAAAUUCUAGCAUUUUUUUUUCGUUUUUAUCGAUAUGGUCAAGCUUUUACAUACAGUAAAGUUUAUUAAAGCUAUCCAAUUAACAUAAUACUCCAUUAACACAGAUUGGGUUGAAAAUUGAAACAUUUGUUAAAGUGCUUAUAGUAUAACUAUACAGUAGUAAAACUACUGUAUAGUUAUACUAUAAGCAUUUUUAAUUUUUAAACAGUAUUAGAUACAUAAUGAUUAUUUUCAUUUAUUAUAAUAAAAUGCUAAUUUAUUUAUUUCAAACGUAAAUCUUAUUUUGCUUUAAAAUUUUAUUUAAAAAACUUAAAAAGGUUUAGUCCAAAAUUAUUUUAUUUUAAAUACAAAUACUCGUGUAUAGCACAUCAGUUUUAUCUAUAUUAUGUAAAAUUAUUAUGAGAAUAGCGCAAUGAGAUUUAUUUUUAGGUCUUUUUAAAUGGGUCCCAUUUAACCGGUUUUAUAGAAAUGUUAAUUAAAAAAACUUGGCAAUUAUCUUUUCAUCUGACAAACUAUUUAUGAGUAUUAAAUUGGAUUUAAUCAGGAAUAGGUUUCUUCUUAUGAAAAUAUUUAAAGACUUUACAACUACUUCGGUAUAUGGUAAAAAAAAAAAUUUCAAAGAAAUUCAUUUUGAUACUCCAAUUACCCCUUUAAUACUCUAUUUUCCAAUUAAUUUUAAAAGUAUUUUAUACACUGCUAUAUAUGAAACAUGUACAUUAAGGUUUUACAAUAAUAAGAUUUAUCAUCUAAUAAAAAAAAACUAUUUUUGAAAAAAUUGUUACCUCAAGGUCAGUGUAAAGUCUUCAUUUUAUUUUCUAUAUACCUGUUAAUCUCCUAAUUACUUCUCUGUUCAUAAGAAAUAAGCUUUAAUCUGACUUAAAAAAAUGUUUUUAUAUUAUAAAAAUAAAGAAUAUUAUAAAUUACAUAAGUUUUACUUAAGAUUUUGAAACAGUUUUACUACAUAAUGAAGUAAUCUGUUAAAACUUAUUAUAUAUUAUAAUAACUUAAAAUAAUAAGCUUACUUAAAAAAUAUAAUUUGCUUUUUAUUCAAUAUUGUAUAUUCUAUACAAAAAUUAAAUAAUCAGUGUGUUGUGGAUGUAAGUGAUAGUUCGUUAAAAUAGUUUUGUUUAAAGUAACAUAUUCAUAAUUUCAAUUUAUUUUUGUAUUAUGUUUUUUAAAUGAAGUUUGAUCAGAACUUUCUGUGAUAAGAUAAUUAAAUGGUAAUAAAAAUUGCAUGCUUCUACUUUCCUUAAUUCAUGUUUCAAAAAAAAAAGUUGGAAGGUCUAAUGAGUUUGAUCUUUUAAAAGAGAAACUUAAGUCUUUACAUUUAUUUAGUAGGUAUAUUAUGUUUGUUUUUAUUAUCGUGUGAGUUUAAUUAAACAUUUUUAAUUAUUUAAAAUUUCAAUAUCAAGUUGAAUACAGCAAACUAGGUGUUUUAUUAUUAAUACUUUUAAAAUUUAUUGUUCCUCUUGAUUUGUUGACUGUUUUUAAAUUUAAACUCUCUAAUCGAAUUAAAAAAAUCUUAAUUUCAGAUUUGUUAUAAUCUAAUCUACUUAGAAAAAACCUCAAGUUUUUAUCUUUAACUCUUAUUACUCUUAUUUAUUGACAUGUAUUGGAAACGUAAGACAUACAAAAAAGUGACUAGAUAGUUGUAAUGAAGUGUUGUGUUGCCUUAUAAUUAAGUUUCAGUCAUUUUUAACAACGUAAAUCGCAACUAUUUGUUAACGUUAGUGUGUACUUAAAUAAAUGACCUCAAAAUUUCGCUUUUAGAAUAUUUCUACCUGGAAGUUAUUAAUUAUUUUAGCCUAUGGAUGAUAAAAUAAUAUUUAUAUUUAAUUUACCUGACCUUCAUGAAAAAUAUUUCCUGAGAAUAACUAAAUUUUAGAAAAUGUAUUUUUCAAAUUAUUCCAAUGACGUGAACUGACUUCUGAAAUUUCAUUUCCAUUUGUAUCUUUCAUUGCUUUUAUACAUCAUCUUCAUUUUUAUUAUAUAUAUUUAGGAUCUUUAGGCGGUAUUAGACAGUUUAGUGUUGCCAGCUCAAAUAAAAAAAGGUUAACAUUAAAUAAUCACUUAUAAGCGUCAUUUACUGUCUCUUCAAAAGUUAUAAUCUGACAACGGUUUAUAAAUAAAUGUAUGUUUGGUUUCUCAACCAACAUGUAGUUUAAAAAUAUCGAUUGUCCAAAGAAAUCAUGCCCGGCGUCGACCAGAGAGCUGCUCUGAACCCGGAAACAUCAAAAACUCAGGUAUGUCUUCGUCGUUGAGUCGAUUGUUCAUAUAAAUUAAUAGCUAAUGCACUGUAACAAUAUAGCGCGAACGUAACUAUCAAAGUAAAAAAUGUGUAAGUAUUGUUCUGGCUUACGUUGAUAAGUAUAUUUAUGCCGCCUUUACAAACAUAAAUAACGUGUUGUACUAUUCGCCCAUAUAUAUUUGAUCAUCCUUAUUUAAAUGAAAUGAAUUGUAUAUUGAAAUUGGUAUGUUGGCGCGGACUUAUUAAAAUUUCAGACGAUGAAAUAUAUAUUUAUAUUAAUCUAUUGACCUAAUAUUCGUAAAACGAAUAUUAAGUUAAAAUUUUUAAAAAUCCGUCUAAUGACAAUCAAAAUAAACGUCAAACUUCUGAUUUAUAAAUUAUUAGUUAAUAUUGAUUCAGAACUGGAUAAGAAUUCAAGACAAGAGUUAGAUAUUUUUAUUCUCGUCCUACAUCUUAUUUCAUUUAGUAACUAAAAGCUAUUUGGGGGUUCAUUAACAAUGAUCGAAAAAAUGUUAUUAAUAACUAAAAUAGUUCUAUGAUGUUGACCUAAUAAACGUAAACUUUUCUAAACGAUCGAAAAUUACCAAAAGAAAAAUUUUGUUUCUUAAAUUAUUUUGAUGUUUCCUAAAAAUUAAUUUGAACUCUAAAUGACAAAUUUAGUGUGUUCUAUCGGUUCGGUUGAUAAAUUUAUUAUUAUUGUAUUUUGUCGACUAUAUGUGACAUAAAGCAUAUAUAUUUUAUGUUAGUUUUCUGAAUUUGUAUAAGAAAUAAGUCACGCGACGCAGUGUAUUCCUUUAUAUUAUAUUAAGACUCUUAAUAUUUAGGUCGUAACCGUUUACUUUAAAAUAAAUUCUGCGACAUGGAGUUAUGGAUAAAUAAUUCAAAUACAAAUAUUUUUGAAGGAUUCAUAUAUUUAUCAGUUAAAUUUGUAUUCAUUUGUAUUUACUAUAUUUUUAGAAACGUUACUAUAAUGUGUUUUUGAUUUUACUUUACAGAUUCGACUAUGCUCCGUUUAUGGAUGAUCUCGAGUGUGUAGAUAAAAAAAUUAUCUUUGUGGAAAAUUUCACGGUUGAAAUGUUUGAAAGGAUAUUAAACGUGGUGUUUGGAAAUGAUUCAACGGAUGCUUCCUUAGUGACAAAUUUGUGACUAUUGAUUUUCGAAUCAUUACUCUAGCCUCUCGUUGCUUUAAAUCUAUCACUGCAGUAUGCUUUCAAUGCACCAUUACAAGGUGGGCAACGAUGGAGGUUGGUUCAGUACAUCUUGAAAGAAGACUUCAGAGUCGAGCAAUAUUAAUGAAAAUAGCUACAAUAAAUGAGCAACGUUUCUUUAUUUAUAUAAGACUUAUUUUAUAAUAUAUGAAAAGUUUAAGUAAAUAAACAAAAAUCGUUUAUCGUA